rfam:Triticum aestivum genome assembly, contig: Triticum_aestivum_CS42_TGACv1_scaffold_543322_6DS
GAGCUGCUCCCUCCGUUCCGAAUUACUUGUCUUAGAUUUGUCUAGAUACGGAUGUAUCUAGCACUAAAAUGAGUCUAGAUGCAUCCGUAUCUAGACAAAUCCAAGACAAGUAAUUCGGAACGGAGGGAGUACACU